rnacentral:rRNA from 1 species
GGAGGAAAGUAGGGGAUCGUAAGACCUUGCGUUAAUGGAGCGGCCGAUAUCUGAUUAGCUAGUUGGUGAGGUAAAGGCUCACCAAGGCGACGAUCAGUAGCUGGUUUGAGAGAACGACCAGCCACACUGGAACUGAGACACGGUCCAGACUCCUACGGGAGGCAGCAGUGGGGAAUUUUGGACAAUGGGGGCAACCCUGAUCCAGCCAUUCCGCGUGAGUGAAGAAGGCCUUCGGGUUGUAAAGCUCUUUCGCAAGGGAAGAAAACUUAUGAUCGAAUAAAUCAUGAGGUUGACGGUACCUUGAUAAGAAGCACAGGCUAACUACGUGCCAGCAGCCGCGGUAAUACGUAGGGUGCGAGCGUUAAUCGGAAUUACUGGGCGUAAAGCGUGCGCAGGCGGUUUUGUAAGUCGGAUGUGAAAUCCCCGGGCUCAACCUGGGAACUGCG